UCAAAUUCAAAAAAAAAAAAAAAACUAUAAAAUAAUUAUUUUAAGGAGAAAAACAAGCCUAUCUCUUUUAAAAAAAAUUUAUCUUCUCACUUUCUUUCAGUAGAAAAUAUACAUCUCUCUAUAAAUUUCUGGAGCAACGUGAAGUAAAGCCCACUGACCAUCCCGUGCAUCAGUUCACCUUAACGCAUUUCUUUUCAAAAUCCGUUUUGAGUAUAUUUUGCCUUUUGCCUCCCUCUCUCACUCCCCACCUAAACCAAAAAUGCAAGAUACCCUCUUUCUCUCACUCUCUCCUCUCUACAGAAAGAAAGUUCAUUGAAGACGCACAAAAGGUAGACAGUCCAUUAAAGGGAUGCUUUUAAUAGGUUCUCUCAAUUCCAAAAGAAUGAGUAAAAAAGAAAAGCUGAGACCUUCUCUUUAUCUGCUGGGUUAGGAGAAGAUGUUUCUUCUAUGAG
rnacentral:lncRNA from 1 species